rnacentral:snRNA from 1 species
GUACUCGUUUUGGCAGCACAUAUACUAAAAUUGGAAUGAUACAGAGAAGAUUGGCAUGGCCCCUGUGCAAGGAUGACACACAAAUUCAUGAAGCAUUUGAUAUUUUU